CAUCGCUGACUUAUAUUCUGGGGGACUGGAAAUGUCUGCCGGAUGAUUGUUAACCUUCCAAUUGACCUUCGUACAAGUUCCUGAACAUCCACAUCAUUUAUUUCCUAUAAGAUAAGAAAUGAAAGAAUUAGAAGUGCUUUAAUACAGUAACAGAAACACAAAACUAUUAAUGAGCUGUUAUCUAUUCUUACAGUAGCAGAAAUAAAAGAUUUGACACAAGAUAAAUUUUGGACUGCAGUGAGCAUUUCUUGGUUUUGAUUCAAAGAACUAUUACAGAAUAAUGAAAAAGAAAAAAGACCAUCUACAGACACACACAGAGAGAGAGGCAGAGACACAGGCAGAGGGAGAACCAGGCUCCAUGCCGG